UCAAGAGGGAAACAACCCAGACUACCAGCUAAGGUCCCUAAAUCUUACUUAAGUGGAAAACGAUGUGAAGUUACUUAAACAACCAGGAGGUUGGCUUAGAAGCAGCCAUCCUUUAAAGAAAGCGUAAUAGCUCACUGGUCUAGUGAUUUUGCGCGGAAAAUAUAACGGGGCUAAAGUAAGUACCGAAGCUGUAGACUUGCACACAACUUAGAUUAUUUAAGUUUAGAAUAUGAGAAACUAAGUUAUAUGUUUAGUUAUAUUUUUACUGAUUUUUAUAGAGUAAAGAUAGAAAUAAAACUUAGUAAAAUCAGUAAAAAUAUUCUUAGACUAAAGUUAAGUAGUUUAAGUUGUGUGCAAGUGGUAGGAGAGCGUUCUAUUUGCGUCGAAGGUAUACCGGUAAGGAGUGCUGGAGCGAAUAGAAGUGAGCAUGCAGGCAUGAGUAGCGAUAAUUAAUGUGAGAAUCAUUAACGCCGUAAACCCAAGGUUUCCUACGCGAUGCUCGUCAUCGUAGGGUUAGUCGGGUCCUAAGUCGAGUCCGAAAGGGGUAGACGAUGGCAAAUUGGUUAAUAUUCCAAUACCAACAUUAGUGUGCGAUGGAAGGACGCUUAGGGCUAAGGGGGCUAGCGGAUGGAAGUGCUAGUCUAAGGUCGUAGGAGGUUAUACAGGCAAAUCCGUAUAACAAUACUCCGAGAACUGAAAGGCUUUUUGAAGUCUUCGGAUGGAUAGAAGAACCCCUGAUGCCGUCGAGCCAAGAAAAGUUUCUAAGUUUAGCUAAUGUUGCCCGUACCGUAAACCGACACAGGUGGGUGGGAUGAGUAUUCUAAGGCGCGUGGAAGAACUCUCUUUAAGGAACUCUGCAAAAUAGCACCGUAUCUUCGGUAUAAGGUGUGGUUAGCUUUGUAUUAGGAUUUACUCCGAAAGCAAGGAAACUUACAACAAAGAGUCCCUCCCGACUGUUUACCAAAAACACAGCACUCUGCUAACUCGUAAGAGGAUGUAUAGGGUGUGACGCCUGCCCGGUGCUCGAAGGUUAAUUGAUGGGGUUAGCAUUAGCGAAGCUCUUGAUCGAAGCCCGAGUAAACGGCGGCCGUAACUAUAACGGUCCUAAGGUAGCGAAAUUCCUUGUCGGUUAAAUACCGACCUGCAUGAAUGGCGUAACGAGAUGGGAGCUGUCUCAAAGAGGGAUCCAGUGAAAUUGUAGUGGAGGUGAAAAUUCCUCCUACCCGCGGCAAGACGGAAAGACCCCGUGGACCUUUACUACAGCUUGACACUGCUACUUGGAUAAGAAUGUGCAGGAUAGGUGGGAGGCUUUGAGUAUAUGACGCCAGUUGUAUAUGAGCCAUUGUUGAGAUACCACUCUUUCUUAUUUGGGUAGCUAACCAGCUUGAGUUAUCCUCAAGUGGGACAAUGUCUGGUGGGUAGUUUGACUGGGGCGGUCGCCUCCCAAAUAAUAACGGAGGCUUACAAAGGUUGGCUCAGAACGGUUGGAAAUCGUUCGUAGAGUAUAAAGGUAUAAGCCAGCUUAACUGCAAGACAUACAAGUCAAGCAGAGACGAAAGUCGGUCUUAGUGAUCCGGUGGUUCUGUGUGGAAGGGCCAUCGCUCAAAGGAUAAAAGGUACCCCGGGGAUAACAGGCUGAUCUCCCCCAAGAGCUCACAUCGACGGGGAGGUUUGGCACCUCGAUGUCGGCUCAUCGCAUCCUGGGGCUGGAGCAGGUCCCAAGGGUAUGGCUGUUCGCCAUUUAAAGCGGUACGCGAGCUGGGUUCAGAACGUCGUGAGACAGUUCGGUCCCUAUCUGCCGUGGGCGUAAGAAGAUUGAAGAGAUUUGACCCUAGUACGAGAGGACCGGGUUGAACAAACCACUGGUGUAGCUGUUGUUCUGCCAAGAGCAUCGCAGCGUAGCUAAGUUUGGAAAGGAUAAACGCUGAAAGCAUCUAAGCGUGAAGCCAACUCUAAGAUGAAUCUUCUCUAAGCUCUCUAGAAGACUACUAGUUUGAUAGGCUGGGUGUGUAAUGGAUGAAAGUCCUUUAGCUGACCAGUACUAAUAGAGCGUUUGGCUUAUCUUUAAUAAAGCAU
rnacentral:rRNA from 1 species